rnacentral:lncRNA from 1 species
UGACCUGCUGGACCAACGUCACGUACAUGGUGGCAUGGGCUUUCGGCCCAUCUGUGUUACCUCACCCAUGAUGCACCGUUCAAGCACUUUUUCCCGUUCAAACACAUUUUUUUUAUCUUUUUAAACUUCAUGUUCACCGAUACCAAUCAAUAUCCUCGUAAAUUGCAGGAUUCAUCUGCUAAAUUCACAUAUCGUAUUUCAUAUGGUAAUCAGUACUACGUACACAUCAAACAUUUCAUAAGCAAUUUUCACUAAUGUUCCAUCGAAAAACGAGCAUUAUAAAACAAGGGAUAUAUAGUACAAUACAUAUAUUCAGUACACAAACAUUAUU